CCAAUAGCGUAUAUUAAAGUUGCUGCAGUUAAAAAGCUCGUAGUUGAAUUUCGGAACCAAUAUGUUGGUUGUGCCUCGGUACGUACUGGCAUUGUUGGUUUCUCCCUUCUGACGAACUAUGAUGUCAUUAAUUUGGUGUCAUGGGGAAUCAGGACUGUUACUUUGAAAAAAUUAGAGUGUUUAAAGCAGGCUCACGCUUGAAUACAUUAGCAUGGAAUAAUGAAAUAGGACGUUUGAUUCUAUUUUGUUGGUUUCUAGGAUUGACGUAAUGAUUAAUAGGGAUAGUUGGGGGCAUUAGUAUUCAAUUGUCAGAGGUGAAAUUCUUGGAUUUAUUGAAGACUAACUACUGCGAAAGCAUUUGCCAAGGAUGUUUUCAUUAAUCAAGAACGAAAGUUAGGGGAUCGAAGACGAUCAGAUACCGUCGUAGUCUUAACCAUAAACUAUGCCGACUAGGGAUCGGAUGAUGUUAAUUUUAAUGACUCAUUCGGCGCCUUACGGGAAA
rnacentral:rRNA from 1 species